UCCUCGGACAUGGCCCGAUAUGAACCUUCCCGUGCUUUUUAGAACAUAGAUGGCACCAGUCAGGUGACUAUCGAAACGUAAUACGCCGCGAUGACUUCGGUCACGACGGUAUGGCGAGCUUUCGCCGUCCACGUUUCUCUUUCUUCAAGAAGACAAAAAACCGCGUCGACCGGUUCCCCGAAUGGGCCCGUAGCUCAGUUGGUUAGAGCACACGCUUGAUAAGCGUGGGGUCGGAAGUUCAAGUCUUCCCGGGCCCACCAUUUGCACCAGCAAAUGAAAUUUGCUGUAGCGAAUGAGGGUUGAGGGAUGAUGGAAUGUCAGGCGAUGCGGAUUGUUGCCGAACCUUGGGGUCUUGCCCCUGGGUGAUCGAGCUGGAGGGGCUGUAGCUCAGCUGGGAGAGCACCUGCUUUGCAAGCAGGGGGUCAGCGGUUCGAUCCCGCUCAGCUCCACCAAAUCGAUUGGUGUUGAAGCUGACGGCAUUUGUCUUUUGAAGAAAUAAAAGUUUUGCACUGGCUUCGAGCUGGUGCCUGUUCUGCAUACAUUGUGAAGAGAAGAUUGAUCUGGAGGCUUCCAGGUGUUUUGGGUUUUGCCCAAGGCGUCCGAGCCCAGUUCCUGUGAAACCAUGGAUGGCCUAGCCGGCCGGAUGUGGUGGAGGGAUUGGAGGUAGGUAGGAAGCUUGUCACUCUGGAUCGUUUGUUGUUCGUUGCCUUUGGGCAUCGUCUGAUGAACGAUCGGAUUACCGUUGCCUGACCGCGCGGUAUCGGAUCCAAUCUCGAGAAGCUGGUCUUAAGACAGGCUGCAAGCGAGCUGCUCGGCGUAGCUCCAAUAAAGCAGACCUGUCGAACACGUCGAUGGCAUCAUGAAAUGAUCCGGUUGUAAAAGGUAACCGGAUUUUUGGACUGGCCGCACGGCAAUCGCAAGGUUGUCGGGAUGGUCGCAAGUCCAAAUAUGGAUGAGCAUUGGCAAUGAGAACGAUUAAGUGUCGUAAGGGCAUUUGGUGGAUGCCUUGGCAUGCACAGGCGAUGAAGGACGUGAUACGCUGCGAAAAGCCGUG
rnacentral:tRNA from 1 species